ACAAAAUCCAAUACACAAAUCAUCUAUGAAUAAGCCUGCCAGUCCUCACCCAACCCCGGGUGUGGAGUAUGAAAAACUCUAGGGGCCCCUAUCCCACAACCUUGAUACUAGACCUCCAUACUUUCCUAUCCAGGGUCAUGUCCUCAGAAACCCGCAUCCUAGCCAUGUCGUGGCUAAUCACCUCUCCCCAAUACCUCUUAGGCCUUCCUCUGCCUCGCCGUACGCCGACCAUCGGCAGCCGCUCACAACUCCUCACCGGAGCGUCAGGACAUCUCCUCCGCACAUGCCCGAACCACCUCAGCCUCGCUUCUCGCAUCUUCUCAUCCACCGGGGCCACCCCCACCUUCUCUCGAAUAACUUCAUUCUUANNN
rnacentral:lncRNA from 1 species